UUUUCUUUUGUGGUUCUUCAUGAUGUCUGCAUAUUGUACAGUUCAUAUCGUGCUCCUCCACUGAAGGGGUUUGCACAAAAGCAUUACAUCCACAAGAUCGAUCGUGGGCGCCCAUACCAUCUUUACCACCAAAAAAAACUUGGUGGUUACGAUUUUGCAUGUUUAUUUCCUUUGAGGUUCAGUCAGUUUGGCAAUCUAUUGCAUAUAUCACAUCACUGUAAAAGAAGAAGGAAUAAUAGCAGGGACUUUAAUGGAGCCGACGUAAUGGAGAGACUCGGGGAUAUGGUGUUUUUCCUGAGAAUGAUGAGAAUCUGAAGUUGAUCGCGUUGCAGGUGCUUCCUUGAACUCGUAUAUUCGAGUGUAUGCAAGUACACGAUAUAACUCGCAUGAAAAGAAGUAUAUCUUUCUAAUCAAGUGAUGUGGUGAGGUAACUCUUCCUAUGAUAAGUAUUUUAGCUUCUGAGCUGCGCGAAAGUGCAUUGCUUGCGUCUUUGUAUGAUUUGCUUCAAAAUUAAGUGAUUUGCUGCCAUCAAAAUGUGUUUGUACUGGACCUUGAUUCUCAUUAUAGGCUUUACAAAAGCUAUAUACAUCAUGAAACCUUAUUAUUUUAAUUGCAAAAGUGGAAGAGAUGCUUAUGUAGAUUCCACAAGAAGCUAAUGUAUUGGAAAAGAGGAGAGCAAAACGAAAAGUGAGCUAAAAAGGAGAGGCAUAUAGGAUAUGCUGAGCAUAUGCAAAGUAGAUGCCAUCUCAAAUUCCAGAAUUGAACCCACGUCCUUUAAUUUUAUUCUUCUACUAUAAAACCCUGAGCCUUUUCUUCUUAGAAAUCCCUCUCUAAACCUCUGCUUAUGGAUUUCCUUUGAUCGUCAUCGAGCAAUGGGUUCACCUGCCGUUGCUCUCUAUAUGCCGAAGGUGAAUCCAGAUAUGCAAUGUAGGGCAACUAUGAACCUUUGGCAGUUAUGCUACUUACUGGGAGUAAAGGGUAUUGUGAUUUUUUAGUUGUUGUUUGAUGAAUAAGGAAAUGUUUGUGGUAUUUGCUUUCUAUGAAAUAUUAUUGAUAUGUUAUCCUGUAACCUGUUCAAGGGAUAUGUAAGAUUUUUAUGACUUAAUUGGCUCAUUAGUCGCUAUAUGAGUGGUAAUAUGAGCUGAGAAUGUUGCAGUAUUUCUAUUCUCAGUCACUUUGUUCUU